UUAUUAAACAUUCAUUAGGUUCGUCUGCACAAGUCUCGACGCAGCCUCGCAGAUUGAGCCCUGUACAUCCACAGUCAGGCCGGUCCGUCUUCGGUGGCCCCACACCCUACCCCCCCGCAACGUACUACGGCACGUCAGCGUGGCCUUCUUUUGCUGCACCGUCGUACCACGCAGGCCCCUCCAGCCAGUAUACAUGGACGCCUGCCGAGCCUUCACAGUCCUCCUACCCUAGUCAGGAGGAUGAGGCUGGCCCCGACACCGCAUACGACAUCGUUCGUGACUUCUUCGGGGGCACACCUGACUACGACGUCCUUCAGCGGUCCCAGGUUUCCAGUGCACCGCUUCGAACCCA